UUUCACUUCUUAUAUCAUAGGCUUUUUUCCAUGUGAUUUAUUGAAAAUGCUUUUUAAUUGUUGCAUAGAAAUUUUUCCUAUGGAAGUGCUAACCUUUAAAUAAUAAAUCCCUUGGUUUGGGGAUAUAUUUUGAUAUGGAAAUGAAUAUUGUUAUGCAUUUAUCUUUGUUUACGAUUCUGACUAUUUUCUUAACAACAAAUGUCCGAAGGUAGGGGCCGGCCCGGUGGCGCAGCAGUUAAGUUCGCACAUUCUGCUUCUCGGCUGCCCAGGGUUCACCAGUUCGGAUCCCGGGUGCUGACAUGGCACAGGGUGUGGACAUGGCACCGCUUGGCACACCAUGAUGGGAUGAAAGGACCGGACCGAGGCUCAGAGAAGUUAAGUAACUUGACCAUGGUCACACAGUCAAUAGGUGGCAAAUGAGGGCUGGAACAACGUCUGUGUGAUCCCAGGACCUGCUUUCCACAGUACAUGCUGCUCUCUUUGAGAGCGGGACCACAGAGCAGAGUGAGUUCUGGGAUAGAUACUCAUUUGAGGGAGAAGUUUUUCCCAUUCUUUCUCAAAAUUUUAUAAAUGCCAAACUUGGAGUGGAAAGAGACAGGGAGGUGAUGAAUGAGCCCUAGCUUCUGCCUUUGAGGGACUACUCACAGUCUAGCUGAAAGAUCAGCUAGUCUCAUAGCUGUGUGUUGCGCUGGGUGUGCUAUGAGGAGGGAGAGCAUGCUUGCGGAACGCCCGUCUUCCCAGAGAACACGAUAUCUGAUCUCUGUCUUGAAAGUUGAGUAAAAGUGACUAUGGGGCAGUUUAGGAGAAGGAACCGCCAGGGUCCUGAGAGGGCUAGAUCCAGCAGAGGAGGAGCUGUCUCGGGGAGAGAAGGCAAUGGACACUGGAGCUGUGAUGCAGUGGGUCGGAGCCAAUUUAUGCAGCAUCCUGGAUACAGGAGCAGAGCCUCUGGAUUGUCCCUGGAGACGUUAAGAAGUCCUGAGAAGUUUUACAGCUGCCGACUCUGAGUGAGUAGCUGAGCGACUGGGAUCCUGGAAAGACACAGCUUGACCGGAAUUGACACAUUUUGCUAGGAAACAGGAUUAUUAUAUCUUUAAUCAGACAACUUUUGGGCUGUUCUCUUUUGGUUAAUCGACUUGUACUUAUGGGUAUCAAUCUUGGACGUUUCACUCAAGUCGACGCAUCCACGUGAUUGCUGAAGUUGCCCAAGGAGGAGCCCUCAACUUUCUGAGUUCUGGCUCCUUCUCAGAGCACACAGGCUUCUCAGGCUACACAGAGAUUUGGGCAACCUUGCCUCUGACCUUGAGGCCAUCUGAGCCUGAUGACCGCUAAGCCUGGCAGGGAACUGGCGAGAGGAGCUGAGCAGCAAGGUCAGCAAAGGUCACCCGAAUGGGAGUGGGCACCUGAACUGAAGGGUCCUGCCCUCGGCUCCAUUCACAAUGGUCAUGGGGGUGUCUGUGUUUGCAAACAGAAGGGGCCUGAGAAGUGAUCUUUUAAAAUUGCAAAUAUUGCUUCAUUUGGUCCUCAUAUUAUCUGCGAAAGAUAAUUGUUAUUAUUAUGCUGACAAUAAAAAUAAAAGAACUGAGACUCACAGAAGUUUCCCGGUCGUGAGCUAACACGUGGUAAACUAGGGCUCAGUUAGCCUGUUUUGCUACUGUGCCUACUCCCAAAUUCUUGAGAAUCCAGAAGAACAAACAUAAUAUACAUUUACUCAUCAAUUCACGACGGGGAUUUGUUCUGAGAAAUGUGUCAUUAGGCGACGUCGUCAUUGUGCAAACAUCAUAGAGUGUGCGUACAAAACUUAGAUGGUACAGCCUACUGCACACCCAGGCUCUAUGGUACUAAUCUUAUGGGAGCACCAUCACACGUGCGGUCCGUCAUUGACUAAAACGUCAUCAUGCGGUGCAUGACUGUAGUCUGAAUUACGUUUUAAUGAUUUUCUCUUUCUCUUUCUCUUCUCACCGUGGCACAGUCAUUAACAGGAUUCAGGUUAAAAGGAAGUGGGAGGUGGGGCUGGCCCUGUGGCUUAGCGGUUAAGUUCAGCACUCUAGAUCUUGUCUGAAAAAGGCGUCUCUCCUCCCAAAACAACUUUGAGAAAUGCCUGAUCCAGAAGACUGUUCGGGCUACCUAAACUGGUCCUUUCAUUUGUCUUUCUCUUCUUUUACCCAGACUCAUAAGCAGCAGACUCCUACCCAGCUGUGGUAAGUUGAGCUCCUAUACCCUGAGGAGCAGCGUGUAAACACUGAUGGAGGUAGAAAGAGGUGAACAUUGAGUGGUGACAAAGAUGGCGGAGGACAAGCAGAACAGGAGCUGUGCUCUUCAUGCAGGUGCUUGGAGAAAACAAGUCAUGUCCCCAACCUCAAAGUGGCAUUGCUGUCAGGGAAGAAGCCUGUGCAAUGAGUGGGACGGGCUGAUGGAAUCUCUUAGAGGACCCUGCAAAGCUUGGGUUCUGCUGGAUCCACUGCCUCAUUUCAUUCUGGUCUCUGCUCAUCGUCACCUCCACAGAGAGCCCACUCCUGACAUGCCAUCUCCAACACCUCCCCUUAGUCUCCCAGCCCUUGCUCUGCUGCAGAUUUUCCUUACUUCCUUUUAUCUCUGCCUGAAUUAUAUUAUCUAUUGGUGUGUUUUUUAUUUGUUUAUGGUCUGUCUCCCUGCACUAGAAUGUAAGCCCGGUGAGGACAGGUGCUCUGUUUCUAGGAUGCACCUCUGUUUCCCCAUAGACACUCAAUUCCAUUUGUUAUCGAGUGGACGAUUAUGUGAAUUCCAUAUCUUGGGCUUCUCCUGAAAAGAUCUAAAGCUCUACAACUCUGCUUUUCAGAAAAGAUUUGGAACAGAUCAUGGUCUAUGGAGUUUUUUUCUUCUUUGCUAAAUUAAGCUAAAAAUGACUUUUCCUCCCAGGAUUAAGUUCACGCCAUGCCUCUAUGUUCACCACUAACGGGGAGACAGAAAUCCUUAGUACCUGUGAGGGUAAUUUUGACUUACAUUUGUAAAUUUCCUAAGGAAAUUGCCUGAUAUUCUCAGACACCGUAAAGCCUCACUUAGUAGCUUUCAUGAAUUUGUAAUGGUAUGGGCAGAAUUUGGCUUGAAGUAUAUUUUCUCUUUUGUUUUCUGAAAUAAGGUUUUGCCGUGUCAAGUAAUAGUCUGAACAAGAUUGCAUGGGAACUGCUAAACUGAUUAACAAAAUAAUUUCUUAUCCAAGUUUUUCUAGAGUAUUCAGCCACACGAAUACACCCGUGCUCCAAUGGUUUUAAUGACUCAUCUCUAUUGAAUGGAACAGGUGAAAUAGAACCUUGAAUUCAAAUGCUAACUUUGGGUCUCGUUUGAACCUUACAACAAACGAUAAAAUUUUGCAGAGACCAGGACACAAAAUUUGUGUACUCCAUUUUUGGCAACAAACAUUAAGAAACAAUUAAUAAAAUAGAUGCGUUCAAAGAAAGUCCCCUUGAUAGUUGAGCCCUAGGUUGUGCCUCGAAAUUCCUGUUUUUUUCAUUUGCUCAUCUAGAAGGUGAUAAUGCCACCAUUGUUAGGCAACCGCAUCUAGUUCCUAAGCCAGUCCUGACUAGGGCCAGAGGCAUAUUAGCAUCAUUGUUCCCACCAGUAAAACAUAAUUAAAAUAAUAAUACUUGCCGUUUCCUGAAUGCUUACUACAUGCCACAUAGUAUGAACUUAAAUAGGAUUUCCUUUAGUCUUCUUGAUCAAGCCCAUGAGUUAGGCAUUGUGUCAUUUUACAAAUGGGGAAACUGAGGCUCAAAGAAGUUAAUUAAUUUAUGCCCCAAAGUCCCACAGCUAGUAAGCAGCAAAGCCAGGAUUUAGAACCAAUGCUUUUAACCCUCAAGUCACUGCUCUUAUCCAGCGCACCAACGACAGAUGGCCUUUGGUGCCGUACACUCAGCCUCGGUGCACUGAAUAAGUCCCGUGUGCCCUGCCAUCCUCCAAGGCUCUUCCCUCCAGCACUCCUGUGGCUGUUGCAGUCCACAGGGCUGGAGCUCUGCCUUGGUUUCUCUUCCUAGCCCUCUAGUUAUUUCCAGUAACAGCCUACUGUUCCUGGCCCAAUGUAUGACUGAUAUUUGGCAUGUUCUCCUUCGUAUGGCAACUCCCAGGGACAUACUCCAGCCCACUGAUGAGAACUCUUUGAUUCUCUUGCCUGUCAGAAUCACAUCUGAGCUUGCUCAGUCCUUUAAUAUUGCUUUUCAUCGCCUUCUCCAGGCUCUAUAGACAACAUAGUUUUCCCUAGUCCCAUCCUAAUGACCAUGGC
rnacentral:lncRNA from 1 species